rnacentral:rRNA from 1 species
GUCUUGCUUAGGCCAGAGAGGCGCAAUGAAAGUAAAUUGCUGAGUUACGAUCCGUACGCGGUCAUUCCUCGUGGGUGACGGUGCGGCGCAGUAACAGCCCGCCAAUUCCGUCUAUCAACGGUCUGGCGGAGUUGUAGCGUACACGUUGGUACCCGAAAGAUGGUGAACUAUGCUUGGGCAAGACGAAGCCAGAGGAAACUCUGGUGGAGGUCUGUAGCGAUUCUGACGUGCAAAUCGAUCGUCAGAC